rnacentral:rRNA from 1 species
GUAAGUAACCUGCCUUUAAGACGAGGAUAACAACCGGAAACGGUUGCUAAGACUGGAUAGGAAACAAAAAGGCAUCUUUUUGUUUUUAAAAGACCUUCUUACGAAGGUAUGCUUAAAGAGGGGCUUGCGCCACAUUAGUUAGUUGGUAGAGUAAAAGCCUACCAAGACGAUGAUGUGUAGCUGGACUGAGAGGUUGAACAGCCACAUUGGGACUGAGACACGGCCCAAACUCCUACGGGAGGCAGCAGUAGGGAAUUUUCGGCAAUGGAGGAAACUCUGACCGAGCAACGCCGCGUGAACGAUGAAGUAUUUCGGUAUGUAAAGUUCUUUUAUUGAAGAAGAAAAAGUAGUGGAAAAACUAUAUUGACGUUAUUCAAUGAAUAAGCCCCGGCUAACUAUGUGCCAGCAGCCGCGGUAAGACAUAGGGGGCGAGCGUUAUCCGGAAUUAUUGGGCGUAAAGGGUGCGUAGGCUGUUAGAUAAGUCUAUAAUUUAAUUUCAGUGCUUAACGCUGUCUUGUUAUAGAAACUGUCUUGACUAGAGUGAGAUAGAGGCAAGCGGAAUUCCAUGUGUAGCGGUAAAAUGUGUAAAUAUAUGGAGGAACACCAGAAGCGUAGGCGGCUUGCUGGGUCUUUACUGACGCUGAGGCACGAAAGCGUGGGUAGCAAACAGGAUUAGAUACCCUGGUAGUCCACGCCGUAAACGAUGAGUACUAAGUGUCGGGGUAAAACUCGGUACUGAAGUUAACACAUUAAGUACUCCGCCUGAGUAGUACGUACGCAAGUAUGAAACUUAAAGGAAUUGACGGGACUCCGCACAAGCGGUGGAUCAUGUUGUUUAAUUCGAAGAUACACGAAAAAUCUUACCAGGUCUUGACAUACUCUGCAAAGCUAUAGAAAUAUAGUGGAGGUUAUCAGAGAUACAGGUGGUGCAUGGUUGUCGUCAGUUCGUGUCGUGAGAUGUUAGGUUAAGUCCUAAAACGAGCGCAACCCUUGUCGUUAAUUGCCAGCACGUAAUGGUGGGGACUUUAACGAGACUGCCAAUUAAAAAUUGGAGGAAGGUGAGGAUUACGUCAAAUCAUCAUGCCCCUUAUGAUCUGGGCUACAAACGUGAUACAAUGGCUGUGACAAAGAGUAGCUGAAACGCGAGUUUUUAGCCAAUCUCAAAAAAGCAGUCUCAGUUCGGAUUGAAGUCUGUAACUCGACUUCAUGAAGUUGGAAUCGCUAGUAAUCGCGAAUCAGCAUGUCGCGGUGAAUACGUUCUCGGGGUUUGUACACACCGCCCGUCAAACCACGAAAGUUAGCAAUACCCAAAAGCAGUAGCUUAACUUCGCAAGAAGAGGGAACUGUCUAAGGUAGGGUUGAUGAUUGGGGUUAAGUCGUAACAAGGUAUCCCUACCGGAAGGUGGGGAUGGAUCACCUCCUUUCU